AGUCAAUUGUGAUCGCUGCAUUGGCAACUUUUCAAACUCAUUGCAGGCGCCUCUGCAGGCCUCAUUCGUUACUUGUGAUAACUUGAAACAUGAUGUUUAUCUGGACUUGUCAGGUGAAUGUGUCUUAUUUAAAGUGCAAUGAGGUUUUUUUGACUAGAAAUUAGACAAAUACGCUCGCUGAGGUUUGAGUUUUUCCUGAGAAUUUGUACUCUCCAACACAGGCAAGGGGACUUUAAAAUAC